UGACAAAAAGCCGCGGUGAAGUCGGACAGUUUCCAGCAGCCUUCAGUCUGUACAGGAAGUCACAGACACACUAACAUCCUGUCUGGAAUGAUGUCAAUUCAUUAAAAAAGUGAUCAGACCUGUAUGUCAGUUUGUUCUCAGUCUCCAGUUGUUUUAAUUCUGAUAGAUUAAUUUAUUAAAAUGCUUUACAGGCGAUCUGUCGUUUAUGUUCAUGGUUCAACCUCCCAUUAUAUGAAUUCUCCUGUAAAUCAGCAUCAUAUCAGUUUGACCUGUCCCCUCAACUACACAGGCUGAAUAAACUGUGUCUGACUAUAAGGUUAAUAUUUUCAGAGGAAAAAAAAUACAAGACAACAGCUUUCAUUAAGGCUCAGUCAGAUACAGUCAGGGCUUCACAUCUGUACACAUGUUAGUUUAAGUGUUAAUAUACAGUAGACUCUGUCUAGGAAAGGUCAGUUCGCCAGUUUGGCAGUACUUCAGAUUUUAUAAUUAACCAGUAUAUUUAUUUAUUUGACUGUUUUUCAUGGUUAUGUUGACCUCUUUUUCCGCUGUGUUCGUUUGUUCAUUACUGAGGAAAGGUUACAUUUAAAAUAAAAAAGUGUUCAAAUUUAACAUUUUUUUCUUCUGGUCCUUAUUUCAAAUAGGUUUUAAAAAAUUAAAUAAUUAUCGAUAUCGACUGAUAUGAAACACUUCACUUCACAGGAGUAAAAAAUGGUGUCUGACCUCAGAGUCUCCAGUUUACAGUGUGGACUCUCCAGAAAAUCACACAGCUGCUUCACUCCUGAAUCCUGCAGCUUGUUGUAGCUCAGCUCCAGCUCUCUCAGAUGGGAGGGGUUGGACUUCAGAGCUGAGGCCAGUGAAACACAGUCGAUCUCUGACAAACUGCAGCCCCU